rnacentral:rRNA from 1 species
CAGCCGCCGCGGUAAUACGAAAGGUCCAAGCGUUACUCGGAAUUACUGGGCGUAAAGCGCGCGUAGGCGGUUUUGUAUGUCGAUUGUGAAAGCCCCGGGCUCAACCUGGGAACCGCAGUCGAAACUGCAAGACUUGAAUGUUGGAGAGGUUGGGGGAAUACCUAGUGGAGAAGUGAAAUUCGUAGAGAUUAGGUGGAACACCAGAGGCGAAGGCGCCUGACUGGCCAAACAUUGACGCUAAGGCGCGAAAGCGUGGGUAGCAAACAGGAUUAGAUACCCCCGUAGUCCCUGUCUCUUAUAC